GUGCCUCAUUUUCCUCGUGUGUAAGAAAUGAAAAGCUUUUUUUUUUUUUUUUCCACAGUAUAUAUAAGUUCCCAGGACCAUAGCAAUGCUGGACCCUGGCCACAGCUCACAGCAACGCCAGAUCCUUAGCCCACUGAGCGAGGCCAGGGAUCAAACCAGCAUCCUCACGGAUGCCAGUCAGAUUCACUUCUGCUGAGCCAUGAUGGAAACUCCAAGAAAAGUCUCUGAAGGGCGAACGCUUCAUUCACUUUUCUCAGUGGAGCAAGAACAGACUGAUUGGCCCUCUGGGUGUUCGCGAAUGAAAGGUCAUCCUUCCGCUCGGCAGACACCUCCAGUCGGGCGGAGAAAGCCUGGGCUGUGACCUGAAAAAGCUCCCUGCGCGGUGCCCCUCGGCCAGGCCAGGCCAAAUGCUGUCCUCAGAGGACGCAGGCAAGGUGAGAACGCGGGCUGGGGCCUUAAACCACAAAGAGAGGGA
rnacentral:lncRNA from 9 species